AUCCAGUGUUGUACAGUGGUUAGUAGGAUAGACCGUUGUGCGAUAGGGCGUGGGUUCGGUCCCCGCCGCGGAUA